rnacentral:rRNA from 1 species
GCGAAAACUUUACAAUGCUGGCAACAGCGAUAAGGGAACCUCGAGUGCCAGGUUACAAAUCUGGCUGUCGAGAUGCCUAAAAAGCAUUUCAUAGCAAGGGCCGGGCAAGACCGGUGCCAGCCGCCGCGGUAACACCGGCGGCUCGAGUGGUAACCGUUGUUAUUGGGUCUAAAGGGUCUGUAGCCGGCCGGAUAAGUCUCUUGAGAAAUCUGGCAGCUUAACUGUCAGGCUUUCAGGAGAUACUGUCUGGCUCGAGGCCGGGAGAGGUGAGAGGUACUUCAGGAGUAGGGGUGAAAUCUUGUAAUCCUUGAAGGACCACCAGUGGCGAAGGCGUCUCACCAGAACGGACCUGACGGCAAGGGACGAAAGCUAGGGGCACGAACC